AACGAACGCUGGCGGCAGGCUUAACACAUGCAAGUCGAACGCCCCGCAAGGGGAGUGGCAGACGGGUGAGUAACGCGUGGGAACAUACCCUUUUCUACGGAAUAGCUCUGGGAAACUGGAAUUAAUACCGUAUACGCCCUACGGGGGAAAGAUUUAUCGGGGAAGGAUUGGCCCGCGUUGGAUUAGCUAGUUGGUGGGGUAAAGGCCUACCAAGGCGACGAUCCAUAGCUGGUCUGAGAGGAUGAUCAGCCACAUUGGGACUGAGACACGGCCCAAACUCCUACGGGAGGCAGCAGUGGGGAAUAUUGGACAAUGGGCGCAAGCCUGAUCCAGCCAUGCCGCGUGAGUGAUGAAGGCCUUAGGGUUGUAAAGCUCUUUCACCGAUGAAGAUAAUGCCGGUAGUCGGAGAAGAAGCCCCGGCUAACUUCGUG
rnacentral:rRNA from 1 species